rnacentral:rRNA from 1 species
GACGAACGCUGGCGGCGUGCCUAAUACAUGCAAGUCGAACGCUUUUUCUUUCACCGGAGCUUGCUCCACCGAAAGAAAAAGAGUGGCGAACGGGUGAGUAACACGUGGGUAACCUGCCCAUCAGAAGGGGAUAACACUUGGAAACAGGUGCUAAUACCGUAUAACAAUAUUGUCCGCAUGGAAGAAAGUUGAAAGGCGCUUUUGCGUCACUGAUGGAUGGCCCCGCGGUGCAUUAGCUAGUUGGUGAGGUAACGGCUCACCAAGGCAAGGAUGCAUAGCCGACCUGAGAGGGUGAUCGGCCACACUGGGACUGGGACACGGCCCAGACUCCUACGAGAGGCAGAAGUAGGGAAUCUUCGGGAAUGGACGAAAGUCUGACCGAGCAACGCCGCGUGAGUGAAGAAGGUUUUCGGAUCGUAAAACUCUGUUGUUAGAGAAGAACAAGGAUGAGAGUAAAAUGUUCAUCCCUUGACGGUAUCUAACCAGAAAGCCACGGCUAACUACGUGCCAGCCGCCGCGGUAA